UUUAGCCUUUCUGCUGAUGGAAGCGAAAAGUGUCAAGCAGUGCUGAGGACACGCUGGGAGGACUGGAAAGAGGGAUCUUGCUGCUGUCGAGGAUGCCACACGUGUUACAAGAGGACGGUGGAUGUGAUGUCCGGCAUCGCCAAAAAGCAUGCAAGACGCUCAGGACCAGUUCUGGAGGUUUUGGACACAGAGGAGCUUCUGAUCAAUAUAUCUUUAAAGCUGAAAACAAGAGAAGCAACAUGAAGCUGUGAUUUUGUAGGGUCUGGGGCCCUGGACUGCCUGGAUGUUCUUUCUAAAGUCUGCCAUUGGUACCCUGCCA